rnacentral:lncRNA from 1 species
GUCAGUUUAAAGUCCUAGGAAGGCACCUGGAGGAUGCGUGAGGGUGAGCUCCCCCUGCCGGCUGUGCCUCUUUCUGCAGGGUGUGCAGAGCUUCCCACCCUCACACUCCACCCGUCAUUCAUGCAAAACUUACUCUUCAAGAAGGAACCAAUGAGCAGAUUCUCCCCUCAGUGUCUAGUCCAUGAAGAGUGUUUGCACUUUAGCCCAUACACAAAAUUUUAGCCCAGAGAAGCAGCUCAUCCCAAACAUGGGCUUUGAAAUCUGCAGAACCUGAAGUAUAAUCCGGACCCCCUACCUUCCCCUA